GGAUGGCUGAAUCUACCCUGCUAAGGUGGAAUCCCCUUACGGGGACCGAGGGUUCAAAUCCCUCCGUCUCCG
rnacentral:tRNA from 1 species